rnacentral:snRNA from 12 species
GUACUUACCUGGCAGGGGAGAUACCAUGAUCACGAAGGUGGUUUUCCCAGGCCAGGGUUAUCCAUUGCACUCCGGAUGUGCUGGCCCCUGUGAUUUCACACCCCUCCUCCCCCCCCAAAAAAGAAAAAAACAUGUCUGUUGGUGGACAUUUAAGUUUCUAUAUUUUCAC